rnacentral:rRNA from 1 species
GACGAACGCUGGCGGCGUGCUUAACACAUGCAAGUCGUACGGUAAGGCCCUUUCGGGGGUACACGAGUGGCGAACGGGUGCGUAACACGUGAGUAACCUGCCCACAACUUUGGGAUAACGCUAGGAAACUGGUGCUAAUACUGGAUAUGUGCUCCUGCUGCAUGGUGGGGGUUGGAAAGCUCCGGCGGUGGUGGAUGGACUCGCGGCCUACCAGCGUGCUGGUGGGGUAGUGGCCUACCAAGGCGGCGACGGGUGGCCGGCCUGGGGGGGUGACCGGCCACAUUGGGGCUGGGAUACGGGCCAGACGCCUGCGGGGGGCAGCAGGGGGGAAUAUUGCACAAUGGGCGCAAGGCGGAUGCAGCAACGCCGCGGGCGGGAUGACGGCCUUCGGGUUGUAAACCGCUUUCAGCAGGGACGAAGCUUUUUGUGACGGUACCUGCAGAAGAAGCACCGGCUAACUACGUG